rnacentral:rRNA from 1 species
AGUGAACGCUGGCGGUAGGCCUAACACAUGCAAGUCGAACGGCAGCACAGUAAGAGCUUGCUCUUACGGGUGGCGAGUGGCGGACGGGUGAGGAAUACAUCGGAAUCUACUUUUUCGCGGGGGAUAACGUAGGGAAACUUACGCUAAUACCGCAUACGACCUACGGGUGAAAGCAGGGGAUCUUCGGACCUUGCGCGAUUGAAUGAGCCGAUGUCGGAUUAGCUAGUUGGCGGGGUAAAGGCCCACCAAGGCGACGAUCCGUAGCUGGUCUGAGGGGAUGAUCAGCCACACUGGAACUGCAACACGGUCCAGACUCCUACGGGAGGCAGCAGUACGGAAUAUUGGACAAUGGGCGCAAGCCUGAUCCAGCCAUACCGCAUGGGUGAAGAAGGACUUCGGGUUGUAAAUCCCUUUUGUUGGGAAAGACAAGCAGCAGGUUAAUACCCCGCUCUUCUGACGAUACCCAAAUAAUAAGCACCGGCUAACUUCGUG